rnacentral:ncRNA from 1 species
ACCAGAGGCUCUGGAAAGGGUCUCCGGGGCGCGCUCCAGCCAACCAGCCGAGCCGCUCCGUGACUGUACUGCCCACAAGGCGGACUGACGAGGUUGCGACUGGAACGAGUCGUCCUGAGGGACGGGGAAGCGAUUAACGUAUCAGUCAGACUGUAGUCUCGACGUUGUCGAGCCCCACGGCAGCCACGCCAUCCGGGAGCUUCGCAACCAAGAGCCAGCCCGGCGAUCGUGUCC